rnacentral:rRNA from 1 species
GUUAACGGGGGAUUAGGGUUCGAUUCCGGAGAGGGAGCCUGAGAAACGGCUACCACAUCUAAGGAAGGCAGCAGGCGCGCAAAUUACCCAAUUCUAACAGUUUGAGAGAGGUAGUAACAAGAAAUAACAAUACAAGGCAGUUAAAAUGCUUUGUAAUUGGAAUGAUAGAAAUUUAAACCCUUUUUAAAGUAUCAAUUGGAGGGCAAGUCUGGUGCCAGCAGCCGCGGUAAUUCCAGCUCCAAUAGCGUAUAUUAAAAUUGUUGCAGUUAAAAAGCUCGUAGUUGAAGUUCUGCURAAAGUAACCGGUCUGCUUUUAAUAAAAGUGGUAUCUUGGUAUGUAUUUAGCAAUGAUGUCCUUUGAAGUGUUUUUUACUUUAUUGUAAUAAAGCAUAUUCAGGACUUUUACUUUGAGAAAAUUAGAGUGUUUCUAGCAGGCUGACGCUUUGAAUACUGCAGCAUGGAAUAAUAAGAUAGGAUUUUAGUUCUACAUUAUUGGUUUUAAGAGCUAAAUUAAUGAUUGAUAGGGACAGUUGGGGGCAUUUGUAUUUAACUGUCAGAGGUG